rnacentral:rRNA from 1 species
GGGAGGUAGUGACAAUAAAUAACAAUACGGGGUUCUUUAGGAUCUCGUAAUUGGAAUGAGUACAAUUUAAAUCUCUUAACGAGGAACAAUUGGAGGGCAAGUCUGGUGCCAGCAGCCGCGGUAAUUCCAGCUCCAAUAGCGUAUAUUAAAGUUGUUGCAGUUAAAAAGCUCGUAGUUGAAUUUCGGGAUCAGUAUGUUGGUCGUGCUUCGGUACGUACUGUCAUUACUGGUUUCUCCCUUCUGAAGAACCUUGAUGUCAUUAAUUUGGUGUCUUGGGGAAUCAGGACUGUUACUUUGAAAAAAUUAGAGUGUUUAAAGCAGGCAUACGCUUGAAUACAUUAGCAUGGAAUAAUAAAAUAGGACGGAUGGUUCUAUUUUGUUGGUUUCUAGGAUCACCGUAAUGAUUAAUAGGGAUAGUUGGG